GGGGGGAGCAACGGAUCCUGGGCUGUGUCCCCAGGUGCCCUGGAUUCCUGGGCCUGCGCUGCUGGAAUCACGCCCUGGGGGCCGCACAGCCCCCU
rnacentral:pre_miRNA from 1 species